ensembl:lncRNA
GGAGGCUUGGUAAGAAGUGGCCCCCUGUGCCGCGGGGCCCCGCGGAGGAGCCCGGCUUUGUGGAGGAUUAGAAAGCUCCCUCCCUAUCCCAAUACCUGCGUGUAUGUCGGUCCUGCAGGCCCACCCCAGACUCCAAAUUCCGGGAACAGCAGGUCAUCCCCUUCUUCCUGUUUCCCACUCCCGCCUUCCCUGUGCCGAGCCUCUUCUCCACAUCUCUCUUAUCCCCUUUGUCGGAAUGGAGACCUCUGAGCUUCUGGGACUCUAUGGCUGCUGUACAGAGUUGAGUCGGAACUGUGCCCAGGGUUGCAUUCCCGGGGCGGCUCAAAGGCCGCAUCUCCAAGCAGAAGGGUGAGCCGGCGACCCACCUUCAGGUACAUGGCUCACCUGGCCCCCGGGCCGCACAGAAUCUUGGCCCACCACCCUGUGCUCCUGCCGGCUUCGCAGCCCACAC